rnacentral:rRNA from 1 species
AUUGAACGCUGGCGGCAUGCCUUACACAUGCAAGUCGAACGGUAACGCGGGGCAACCUGGCGACGAGUGGCGAACGGGUGAGUAAUGUAUCGGAACGUGCCCAGUUGUGGGGGAUAACUGCUCGAAAGAGCAGCUAAUACCGCAUACGACCUGAGGGUGAAAGCGGGGGAUCGCAAGACCUCGCGCAAUUGGAGCGGCCGAUAUCAGAUUAGGUAGUUGGUGGGGUAAAGGCUCACCAAGCCGACGAUCUGUAGCUGGUCUGAGAGGACGACCAGCCACACUGGGACUGAGACACGGCCCAGACUCCUACGGGAGGCAGCAGUGGGGAAUUUUGGACAAUGGACGCAAGUCUGAUCCAGCCAUGCCGCGUGCGGGAAGAAGGCCUUCGGGUUGUAAACCGCUUUUGUCAGGGAAGAAAAGGCUCCUUCUAAUAUAGGGGGCUCAUGACGGUACCUGAAGAAUAAGCACCGGCUAACUACGUGCCAGCAGCCGCCGCGGUAA